CAGCCACAGAGGGCAGACUUAGAGCUGCAAUGUAAACAUCGCAGUUCUCUGAAACUGCAAUGUUUAACUAUCCAGCACUAAGUGCAAAAGUGUCAGAUCUUGGUUGACUAACUUUGGCACUAUUGGUUCUAUAUCAGGGUCAAUUAGCUGAAGUGGUCUGGGUGGCUACAGUGUCCCUUUAAUAACAGCCCCCAGUUUCUCCUUGUGUGCAGGUAAGUAAAUUAGAGUAUAUAUUAGUCCACAAAUAUGACUACUUUUUAAAGCUCACAAGGAGGAAGAGAAGCUUACAUAGGACACUCAGACCAGAUACGGUCAUGGUCUGCUCAGGGAUAUCAAGUGAGUACUUAUGAGCAGAGGGAAUCGAAGAAAGAGAGAAUUUGAGAACUUUGUUCCAUUUUAGAAACACUACAUAAUAAACUGGUAUUGUUUUUGAUAAGGUAUUAUUAGUGUCACUGUGUAUUUUGUAUAAGGGGGAAUCAGGAAGCCUAAACAGCAAUCCAAAGUCUGAGGUUUGAAGCACAAUGUCUUUUGGUAAGUUACAGAAUCAACAGACAAGUAACAGAGUCGGUAAUCCCAAGUAAGUGGUUCAGUGAAACACAGGUAAACAAUCAGCAGGAUAAUAGAUGAAAUAUGACUUAUUACAACUGCUUUGAACAUACAGAAGGGCAGUUAUUUAUAGCAUGCAUCUGGUUGUGAUUAGAGUAUUAUCAUAGAUGUUUGUUAAUGGCUGAUUUCCCUGAAUAUAAUCAAAAGGCCUAUGGAACAUUCACACCAGGAGACUAGCAAACAAAUAAAUGUGCCACUAUGUCUGUGACUGAAUUAAAAUCCCCAUAUUGCCACCUUGAGCAGGAUAUCCGUGCCACCUUGCAGUCCUAAAAAUGCAUUUAAAAAAAAAAUCAAGAACAGUAUCCCUCAGUAUUAGUGAGCAGGAAUUUGGGAGUUGGCACGAAUGUAAAUACUACAAGUUUCAAGUAAUAUAAUAAAAGCAACAGUCCAAUCUACUCAAGUUGCAUUUGCUUGGAAAGUAUGUUGCAGGUUAUAAGUAAGAGAGGAAAUGUGGAAAGAUGUGGCUGGAGGUAAAGCUUUAAUUCACAUGUAUAGCUGUUGUAUGUGCAGACCGAGAACAAGAUAGUUUAUAUGGGCAUGAUCUGUCAUCAUUAAAUGUGCAUUUUAUAUGGAUGAAAUAUUAUAAAACACCUCGGUUUUAUUUGAAGUGGAUAGCAUGUAUACUGGUGGCUGACAUCAUUCAAUUUGUUUUUCCCUAAAACCUCUAAGUGAAGUAGCAAAAGUAUUGCUCAUCAGAUGUUGACAUUUCAUAAAUUAAAAUAAUCUGCAUUCAAAAAAUUACAUAUCACAUUUUAUUCUGAAGUGAAAAAUUGUGAUUAAUCUACUUUAAUACUGUCAAACGCAUGUAUGGCACAAGUACAUGGAACUUAAGUCUGGACUAACAAAGGCAAGUGUUGGAAAAGCUAGUAGCACAUUACCAGUCCCUAGGGAGCAGCAUGCAAUGAUGUAGGGUUCCAGCUUCAGAAGUCAAACCAUUAAACAUCAUGCUAGCAGUAGUUUGCAGCACCAGGAGUGCUAACUAUUGCCUGUGUGUUCUCUGAAUUAUAUCUGUCUAAUAAGUCCUCAAUAAUUUUGUUAUUGCCUUUAUAAAUAUGGCAGGUUUGGUGAAGGGUUAAUUAACUCUAAACCAGUGGCAAGAUGAUACCUUGCUGCAGCUCUACUCGGCUAUCUGGGAGAUAAUUAGUACUGAUAAUCUCCCAGUGUUUUUCAUAGACAAGCAUUAAUAUAUGGCACGUCUGCAGCACCUUUUUGUGCUUCACCUGCAAUGCUUCUUACAGAGAAGCAUUGCAUCCAGUUUCUCUCUAUGAGAUGCAUUGUCUUUUCAUUGUGCUGGGGCACACAACAAUCAGGAAGCAUAUAAACACUAACACCUUUUAAGUUAAUUUGGAAAACCUGAGCUAUAAAGAUUAUGGUGAAUGAUGCUACGAUGCACCAUAAUAUGUAGAUUUAUUUUAUUUUAAUUUUCACUGCUGCACCUUGGCAACAUUUGUAUUCUUUUUCUGAAAGAAAGAGUGAGGCUUGAUAGCAGAAAAAUAGAUCUGUAUUUUUCUAGUAAAACUUGCCAUGCAGAGGUUUGAGACACAUUAAAUGUUUCCAUGAAAGACAGUAGUAGUGUGUACAACAAAUCACCGAUAUCCUUUUCUUGCUUUUCCCCCCCUCUGUUUAUGAUGCUAGAUGCCUGUGUUUUUCAGAAACUGCUAGGAAAAAAAAAAAAAAGUUGCAUCCUUCCAUCAUUAACUCCUAGAGUGCAAUCGUUUUAUGGAAUAUGUGAAACAUCUUAAAAUCAGUACGCUAGAAAUGUCCUAAGCUGUUGUAAAACACAUUAUAUGCCUUCCUAAAUCGUUUAAAUACUGAUUUUCAUUUUUCUGAUUGUUACUGCUGCUUUCAUUUAAAGUUUACCUGUCAUGAUACACAGUAUUUUAGGUUUAAAGUAAAGCACCUUAUAUUUCAUAUAUGCAUUGUGCUAGCAGAAAUGCUGGCAAAUGUACAGAUUUUAAUUUAAUAUUUAAAACUACGGUUACUCCCCCACCCAGCAAUCAGUCUUCAAAGCAGAAGGUUGAUUGACAUUGGGGAGCAGGAGAACCUUCUUAUAUGUGGUUUUCCUCUACCCUAUAACCCCAGCAAACGUUUCUCAAAUUUGCUGUGGUUGGGGAAGUGCCCCCAAUCAGAGCUAGUCCGUGCAGAGAGAAUAGCUGCUUAGGAGCUAGGGAGUAGCAGGUUACAACUAUAUAUGCUCAUGAAACUUGUAAUUCUAUCAUGUAUCACUGCCUUAGAAGCUGUUAUAUAUUAAUAUAAACUUGGUAUGGUUUCAAAAUCCAAAUGCAGCUUGUUCUAUUCUUAUUAAUCAAGGCUUAAUUAAAACCUAAGUUCUGGCACCUUUCACAAGUGUUUCUGGAGCUAUUUUGUCAGGUUUUUACUUUUUCGAUUUAAGUGUACUCAAAGAAACCUGGCACAUCUGUAAAUUAUAAAGUGGUUUUAAUAUCUCCUCAGAUAUCUUACUCCGAUAUCUAGCCUAGUUGGAUCAUUAUUUUCAUAUCUUGCGCUGUCCAUUAUCAAAAUCACAUCAUAUGUACUAGUUCUCCCUCCCUUAUUAGUGCCCGCACUAAGCUUUCUCAAAAAGAAGCUGAUGUACAGUGGACUUGGUAGAGAAACUAUUACAAUUUCUGCAUGAAUCCAAGCAUGGGAAGCCCUAAUCUGUGUGGUGGUUAAAGAGGUGACUGCUUUUUACAUUAUGGCACUUAAGAACAAUAGAAUAGUCUAACAAAUGUUUCGGAUAAAAAAAAAAAAAAAAACUAGUCCCCAAUAUUUUCUGAGUAAUAAAUAUUCACAUCGAUAUAUAAAAUGAGAAUGCAACGGGCAUGUUUAAAGAUAUUGAGUUUGCCCCAUUUUUCUGGAAUGCAUUAAAAUACUUUAAAAACAAUAUAAUAAAAAUAGUCAUGAAAUAUACUCAUAUUUAAAGUUCCUGCAUGUGUUGUUUAUUCUCAAACUUUGCAGCUUUUAGAGUAAGCCCUGCUCAUAAUAAGAAGUAAGUUUAGCAAAUUAACAAUAUUCCUUUAAAUUUACAUGUCAAUGAUGAACUUAUUCAAUACAUUUCUGCCAAGCCAGAAUUUAUGUUAGCUAUAAUGUAGUGUAAAAGCUGACAACUGAUCUGAAACUCCCAGAAGUGAUGACUUUCCAUAAAGCUGUACUAGUGGAGCAAAAAGGAAAACAUGGGACUCCCAAAAUCAAACCAAAAAACCCUAAAGCAGAUUAUAUAACCUAACCUACACAUUGAUAUUUCUGGUGUAUAAUUAAGUAUGUUUGCACAUAAAUGAUAAAUGUUGUUUUAUGCACCACACAUAAACUACAUUGUCGUAAAAGGUAAUAUUGUAUAACUUAAAUAUGGAGAUGUACACAAAAAUAAUGGCAGUUUUUCUUAGAAAUGUGCAUUAUACCAAAACAUUGUGCGUCAUGAAAAAGAUUAUCUGUAUUCAUUUAUUAAUAGCAUUUAUAUAACGCCAACAUAUUGUGCUACGCUUUAAAUUUGAUAGACUUGGGAUAUUUGAAGAAGGCUAUGCUCAACCAAGCUUACAAUCUAUCAGGAUUUAAGGCAGGCAGAUAUAU